rnacentral:rRNA from 1 species
UACGUAGGGUGCAAGCGUUGUCCGGAAUUAUUGGGCGUAAAGAGCUCGUAGGCGGUUAGUCGCGUCUGCUGUGAAAACUCGGGGCUUAACUCCGGGCCUGCAGUGGGUACGGGCUGACUAGAGUGCGGUAGGGGAGACUGGAAUUCCUGGUGUAGCGGUGAAAUGCGCAGAUAUCAGGAGGAACACCGGUGGCGAAGGCGGGUCUCUGGGCCACUACUGACGCUGAGAAGCGAAAGCAUGGGGAGCGAACAGG